AUUUAUACGUGUGAAUUUGUUCAUGCUUUUGCUGAUCAACCAUAAUAUAUCAGCUAUAUGUCAUAUUACUAUGUCCCUUAUCAUUUUGUGCCCAUAACAAGGAAUAGAAUGAUUUUAAGUACGUAAAGGAAAACAAAUAAAUUUAUUUCAUUGAUCUAGAUAUAUCAACAUAUACCAAGUAUUAUGAAAAACUUGAAGUGUUGAUGGUUGUAUCUGAAGUGUGGUUUUAGAUUCUGAGGGUUGAUUGGCAUAAAUUCAUCAGAGGAUGCACUUUGUAACGAGUUAUGUGAGCCUUUUUAUCCUUGUCAGUGGAGCAGCAAGUGACUUGCUUGGCAAGUCUAUAAUAAUCUUGUUUUCUAUUUGUUUAUCUUUUGGUACCCUGGAUAUUGAUAACAAAUUUUGGUGGGUUUGAAUUUGGGGGAAAGUUUAUUGUGUAUGUAUAA
rnacentral:misc_RNA from 1 species